GAUGAACGCUGGCGGCGUGCCUAAUACAUGCAAGUCGAGCGAACGGACGAGAAGCUUGCUUCUCUGAUGUUAGCGGCGGACGGGUGAGUAACACGUGGAUAACCUACCUAUAAGACUGGGAUAACUUCGGGAAACCGGAGCUAAUACCGGAUAAUAUUUUGAACCGCAUGAUUCAAAAGUGAAAGACGGUCUUGCUGUCACUUAUAGAUGGAUCCGCGCUGCAUUAGCUAGUUGGUAAGGUAACGGCUUACCAAGGCAACGUUGCAUAGCCGACCUGAGAGGGUGAUCGGCCACACUGGAACUGAGACACGGUCCAGACUCCUACGGGAGGCAGCAGUAGGGAAUCUUCCGCAAUGGGCGAAAGCCUGACGGAGCAACGCCGCGUGAGUGAUGAAGGUCUUCGGAUCGUAAAACUCUGUUAUUAGGGAAGAACAUAUGUGUAAGUAACUGUGCACAUCUUGACGGUACCUAAUCAGAAAGCCACGGCUAACUACGUG
rnacentral:rRNA from 1 species